UACAUGGGGGUGCAAACGUUUGCUCGGAAUUAUUGGGCGUAAAGCGCACGUAGGCGGCCUGCUAAGUCGGAUGUGAAAGCCCAGGGCUCAACCCUGGAAGUGCAUUCGAAACUGGCGGGCUUGAAUGUCGGAGAGGGCAGUGGAAUUCCGAGUGUAGAGGUGAAAUUCGUAGAUAUUCGGAGGAACACCAGUGGCGAAGGCGACUGCCUGGACGAACAUUGACGCUGAGGUGCGAAAGCGUGGGGAGCAAACAGG
rnacentral:rRNA from 1 species